rnacentral:lncRNA from 1 species
AAAAAAUAGGCAAAGGAGACAAACAAACCAAAAAAAGGGCAAAUAGGAGAAUAAGAGGGAAGAACCAAACUAGAAAUGAAUAAAAAAAUUAAAGAAAAAAAUUAAAAAUAAAAAUGGUUGGAAAAAAGAAACAAAAGAUAGAGACUGAAAGGAGAAAAUGUGGCUAGGUUAAGAGAGGCGAGAGGAAUGGCAUGAAAAAUAGUUUAUAAAAUAAAAAAUAGAA